CCUACGGGUGGCAGCAGUGAGGAAUAUUGGUCAAUGGGCGCGAGCCUGAACCAGCCAAGUCGCGUGAGGGAAGACGGUCCUAUGGGUUGUAAACCUCUUUUGUCGGGGAGCAAAAGACGCCACGCGUGGCGUUCCGAGAGUACACGAAGAAAAAGCAUCGGGUAACUCCGUGCCAGCAGCCGGGGUAAUACGGAGGAUGCGAGCGUUAGCCGGUUUUAUUGGGUUUAAGGGGGGCGCAGGCGGAAGAUCAAGUCAGCGGUAAAAUUGAGAGGCUCAACCUCUUCGAGCCGUUGAAACUGGGUUGCUUGAGUGAGUGAGAAGUAUGCGGAAUGCGUGGUGUAGCGGUGAAAUGCAUAGAUAUCACGCAGAACUCCGAUUGCGAAGGCAGCAUACCGGCGCUCAACUGACGCUGAUGCACGAAGGUGUGGGUAUCGAACAGGAUUAGAUACCCUUGUAGUC
rnacentral:rRNA from 1 species